GACGAACGCUGGCGGCGUGCUUAACACAUGCAAGUCGAACGGAAAGGCCCUGCUUUUGUGGGGUGCUCGAGUGGCGAACGGGUGCGUAACACGUGAGUAACCUGCCCUUGACUUUGGGAUAACUUCAGGAAACUGGGGCUAAUACCGGAUAGGAGCUCCUGCUGCAUGGUGGGGGUUGGAAAGUUUCGGCGGUUGGGGAUGGACUCGCGGCUUAUCAGCUUGUUGGUGGGGUAGUGGCUUACCAAGGCUUUGACGGGUAGCCGGCCUGAGAGGGUGACCGGCGACAUGGGGACUGAGAUACGGACCAGACUCCUACGGGAGGCAGCAGUGGGGAAUAUUGCACAAUGGGCGGAAGCCUGAGGCAGCAACGCCGCGGUCGGGAUGACGGCCUGCGGGUUGUAAACCGCUGUCGCCUGUGACGAAGCGGGAGUGACGGUAAUGGGUAAAGAAGCACCGGCUAACUACGUG
rnacentral:rRNA from 1 species